UUAUUCAUCAUAGAAACUGGUUCUGCUUAACCGCAGAUUAAAAGGGAACCGUGUGAAAAUCACGGACUGUCGCGCAACUGUAAGUAACAAAAGUCUUUUAUAAAAGAUCCACUGUGCGGGGCAUGGGAAGGAGAUAAAAGAUGUUACAAGUCAGGAGACCUGCCUUUUUCUUAAACAAGAAA
rnacentral:ncRNA from 25 species